UUUUUAGUAUAAAUAUGUCUUAUACAAUAUUUAGGACAGACUUAUACUAAAA
rfam:Nomascus leucogenys chromosome 14, whole genome shotgun sequence.